rnacentral:lncRNA from 1 species
AAAAAAUAAAAAAUGUAUGAGAACUAUAUUAUAGGGGCUAGAUUGCAAAAUUAGAAGUUUCAAGCAAUUAGAAAAGAUGUAUGUGCACAUUUGGUUGUUUAGGCCCAGCUUGAUAAUAACCUAAAAAUAAAGGAUCAAACAUGCAAAAACAUGAGAUUUGGCCAUUGUUGCUCAAGCUUCAUUAGCGACUGAAUCUUCAUUGCGCGACAGAAUCGGUGGCCACCGUAGCGGAAUUCGAGCAUCACCGACCACGACAAGCUGUUGUCACAGCCAAAAGGAGAAGAGUUGCAGACCACGACGUGGAGGAGGAAGCUGUUCAUGUUGAUUUUACGGCGGAGGAGAGACGAACCACCACAACUUGGAAAUCAAGCUUGCUUGAUAUUACCAGCGUUCAUGGAAGAGAACCAAAAAACACAUCGUAGAGGAGCAUAAUUUUUCAAAAAACAUAAAGUUGUGUUGUAAAUGGUGGUAGUGAAAGGAAGGAGGGACAAAAAGAAAGAGAUAACGAAAAAGAUAAAAUAUAUUAAAAAUAUCAUUUAGUUAGGAACCCUUUUU